rnacentral:lncRNA from 1 species
ACUGGCCAAGCGGAGAGGAACGGAGCUGGCGGAGAGGAGGGUCAGGGACUCGGAAGCCUUAGAGUGGGCAAUGGAGGUGAGGGGCGAGGAGCAACCACCCCCCCAGGUUUUUAAUUUCCACUGGACACAGGUUUUGUUUUCCCCAGCUGCUCCAAGCUUGGAGUUUUGUCCCUGGCUCCAGUAUUUGCCCCUAUUCAGUGCGUGUCAUCUCGCCUUGCACUUUUUCUAAACGUACUCGGGGUGGCACUGCCUGUACCUCGACAUCGGUUUUUGAAGGGCGCUUUACCGGCCUAAGCCCAGGCCUUUUGUGCCUCCGGGUCUUCUGAGCACCCAGACUGCCAGUAGCCUCCAGGCGCAGAGUUCGCGGCCCGGGUAAACCAGAUGCUAGAGGGUCCGCGGGCUCUAUCGUCGAGGGGCGGUGCCCCAUUUUGGCUGUCGCGACCCCUGGAGGCCAAGGUCGAGGUCUGAGAGAAACUUUUCUCCCUCCCAGUCUUGGCCAUCCCCUAGCCUUUGCCCUCCAGGGAACCUAGUUGAAAACAUUUCCUGAGAACUGCACCCCCUUCAGGGCAAAGUCUUCAGGGGGCGAGUAAAAGCCUGAAGAAGAUUCAGAACCGCAAGUGGUUCCUCUCAUCUGGCUCCUCCACUUUAGAGGAUGGGGUUGAGGUCGGUAGCCCCCGGGUAGAGCCACCAGAAGAAAUCUCCGGAUGCGCAGAGUCCCCUUCUCCGCCCUUUUCCCUAGAGCUUGUUGAAGAUAGGGCUCGAGAGGCGCAGUGGGCUAACGUCCAGGAGCGUUGGGGUGAGGGUGAUGGCGGAGAGCGCCCUCCCUGGGUCUCCGGAGAGUCAGCCCUGGAGGUCAUUCAGCCUUAGCAACGAGGGGCUUCAGUCACUGGGUCCCCACGUUCAGUGCCUUUAUCACAUCCCCAGGCACAUCUCAGACACUGUCCCUAACGGAGAGUCGGGCCCCAGGAAUUAAAGAGUCAGGGAGGGUGGCAGAAGCCAAUAGAAGCAAAAAUCUGCUCUGGCCCCAUAAGGCCCCUUGGGGGAGGUUUACAUCAGAACUGAUCUGGGUUCAAGAGCUGCUAAUGGGGUAGUCCCAAGGAUAGGCAAUUCCAUCCCAGCCAGCAGCCCUCUCUGUUCACAAGAAAAGUGCUCAGACCUGCAGGAGUCAGAGGAGAGAAGCAAAGCUGAGGGAGAAGCACACGAUGCCUGGGAAAGCCAGGUCCCUGGGUGUUCUGUUUGAUUAACAAUAAAGAGCCAUCUAGGAUAUGACUGCUUUCCUAGCUAAGGUCUUUGCAGUCUGUAAGAGGAAAGGGAUUUGAAGAAAGUUAAGAAAGAAGUGGUUUGAUGAACAACAAGGAUUUACUGUAUAGCACAGAGAACUAUACUCAAUACCUUGUAAUAACCUAUGAUGGAAAAGAAUCUAAAAAUGUGUGUGUGUGUGUGUGUGUGUAAAUGGAUCACUCUGCUGUACCCUUGAAAACUAGCACAAUAUUGUAAAUCAACUACACUUCAAUUUUUAAAAAGAGGGAAUGAACUGCUCUGCAAGGAGGGCAAGAGAGGAGGGAAGUAAGAAAAUGGGCCUAACACCUCCCCAGGGAAACAGCAGAAAGAAUCAUUAAACUGUUGAGCUUCUGCCUAGAUGGUACCUGCUAAAGGUUGCUGCCUCUCUGUCCACAUCCACCUACCAGCCCCUCCCGAGGGCAGUAGUAGGAGAAGUGUGCAAUUAACCCCUGAUCUAAUCUCCUAUUAAUCCUCAAAUCAGAGAAAGAGCGACUCUCUGGAAACAAUGGGAGAGGAAGAGCAAUCCCUUCAUGCCCCUCCACCUCCAUGCCAUAUUCAAGCUAUGUGAAAAUCUCCCUUGCUUCAUAAACUCGGCCCAUUAAAUAGCCCAGCCCUUGUUAGUAAGUGUUAAAGAGAGAUUAAUGCCCGAAUUUAAGAGGUGGAGAAGGUAACAAAAAAAGGAGGAAGGCAGGCAAGGCUGUGGGCUGAGUGCCAGCGUUGGGCUCCGAGCAUUUCCACUUAGCGCUGAAGGCUGGCUGCACAGCAGUUUGAUAAGGUUUAUUGGGCCCAGAUAAAGCGGCAGCAGCUCCCCCACCAAAACUGGCACCAUUUAUAGCCAGAGCUCUGUCCUUGGGUCUCCGGAAGGCUGAUGAGAAUCCCCAGUUCAGACAUUUCAUAUGGCAGCACCUAAAAACAAGCAGGAUGGAAAAUUACAACAGAAAACUCCGUGUCUCUCCCUUUCUCCUCCCUCUUUCUCUCUACCUCUCUACCUCUCUCUCUCUCUCUCUCUCUCUCUCUCUCUCUCUCUCUCUCUCUCUCUCUCUCGUUCAUGUAUUUGUAGUAGGUGUUUUCUUUUGUUUUCCCUUCUUUCCUUAAAGGGUAUGGUAUGAGAAGUAAGCUGGGACAACAGUUUUGACAGAUCCGAAAAACAUUGGAGAGACUUCAGCCUUACGGGGAGGUCAUGCUACAGGCAGAGGAUAGAUGAUUCGCCCUUUGGGUGGGAUUCCACUGCUAAAUCUCUCAUUCCCCCUCUCCUUUACUCAGGUGCUGGCCCCCACCCCCGAGCACACUGGUCACAAGCCUUCAGAGCUCCGUGUGUGGAAGAGGAGGCGUGCCAGGGCUAAGCGAUCUUACAGGAAGGAGGCAGUGGGAAUAAUGCCUCACUCUGAGUGCUGACUAUGAAUCUUGACACAUCACCCAUAUUGUUUUAUGUAAUCCUCAUAACAACUCUCAUAAUAAAGGCAUUCCUAAUUUUCCCCCAUUUCUUUCUUUUUCCUUUUUGGCCACACCCAUGGCAUGUGGAAGUUCCCAGGCCAGGGAUCAAAUCCAAGCCACAGCAGUGACCCCAGCCACAGCAGUGACAACACCAGAUCCUUAACCCACUGAGCCACAGAGGAACUCCCUCUUUCCUCCAUUUCUUUGGGUGGGAAACAUGGAGCUCAGAGAGAUUCAGUGCCUUACCCAAGACUGUAGAGCUAUUAAAUAGAGCUGAGAUUUUAAAUCGGACCCUUCCGAUCGCAAAGCUCAUGAUCUUAACGUCUAGAUUAAACAGCCUCUAGUGAGAU